CUGUAGAAACAUUUUCCUGGCACACCACAUUAAUAAGUCCUUUGGAACAAGGCAUCAUGGAGGGUGAGAAUCCCGUCUUUGAUCUGAGUAGUUGUCUUUUGUGAUAUGUUUUCAAAGAGUCAGGUUGUUUGGGAAUGCAGCCUAAAUUGGGUGGUAAAUCUCACCUAAAGCUAAAUAUUUGCGAGAGACCGAUAGCGAACAAGUACCGUGAGGGAAAGAUGAAAAGAACUUUGAAAAGAGAGUUAAACAGUAUGUGAAAUUGUUAAAAGGGAACCGUUUGGAGCCAGACUGGUUUGCUUGUAAUCAACCUAGAAUUCGUUUUGGGUGCACUUGCAGGCUAUACCUGCCAACAACAGUUUGAUUUGGAGGAAAAAAUUAGUAGGAAUGUAGCCUCUCGAGGUGUUAUAGCCUACUAUCAUACUCUGGAUUGGACUGAGGAACGCAGCGAAUGCCUUUAGGCAAGAUUGCUGGGUGCUUUCGCUAAUAAAUGUUAGAAUUUCUGCUUCGGGUGGUGCUAAUGUUUAAAGGAGGAACACAUCUAGUAUAUUUUUUAUUCGCUUAGGUUGUUGGCUUAAUGACUCUAAAUGACCCGUCUUGAAACACGGACCAAGGAGUCCACCAUAAG
rnacentral:rRNA from 1 species